GCUUGGCUGGCUGAGUUGGUAGAGCGUGUUACUCUUGAUCUCAGGGUUGUAGGUUUGAGCCCUGCGUCGGGCU
rnacentral:tRNA from 1 species